UGAGUACGAGCUGCUACGGCAGCGAAGUGGGUGACGUCAAGCUUCCAAGAAAAGCCCUACACCCGUUAAGGCAUGAUGGCCUGUACCCGAAACCGACACAGGUGGGGUGGUAGAGAAUACCGAGGGGCGCGAGGUAACUCUCUCUAAGGAACUCGGCGAAAUGGCUCCGUAACUUCGGGAGAAGGGGUGCCACCGCAAGGUGGUCGCAGUGAAGAGGCCCAGGCGACUGUUUACCAAAAACACAGGUCUCCGCUAAGUCGCAAGACGAUGUAUGGGGGCUGACGCCUGCCCAGUGCCGGAAGGUUAAGGAAGCUGGUCAGCGCAAGCGAAGCUGGCGACUGAAGCCCCGGUGAACGGCGGCCGUAACUAUAACGGUCCUAAGGUAGCGAAAUUCCUUGUCGGGUAAGUUCCGACCCGCACGAAAGGCGUAACGAUCUGGGCGCUGUCUCGGAGAGAGGCUCGGCGAAAUAGAAUUGUCUGUGAAGAUGCGGACUACGUGCACCCGGACAGAAAGACCCUAUGAAGCUUUACUGUAGCUUGGUAUUGUGCCCGGGCUCUGAAUGCGCAGGAUAGGUGGGAGGCUUUGAUCCAUUGCUUGUGGGUGAUGGUGAGCCAACGGUGAGAUACCACUCUUUCAGAGCUAGGGUUCUAACGGUCACCCGUUAUCCGGGGACCGGACAGUAUCAGGUGGGCAGUUUGACUGGGGCGGUCGCCUCCUAAAAGGUAACGGAGGCGCGCAAAGGUUCCCGCAGGCUGGUUGGAAAUCAGCCGAUGAGUGUAAAGGCAGAAGGGAGCUUGACUGUGAGACCUACAAGUCGAACAGGGACGAAAGUCGGCCUUAGUGAUCCGACGGUUCUGAGUGGAAGGGCCGUCGCUCAACGGAUAAAGUUACUCUAGGAUAACAGGCUGAUCUCCCCCAAGAGUUCACAUCGACGGGGAGGUUUGGCACCUCGAUGUCGGCUCAUCGCAACCUGGGGCUGAAGUCGGUCCCAAGGGUUGGGCUGUUCGCCCAUUAAAGCGGUACGCGAGCUGGGUUCAGAACGUCGUGAGACAGUUCGGUCCAUAUCCGGUGCAUGCGCAGGGAUAUUGAGAGGAUUUCUCCCUAGUACGAGAGGACCGGGAGGAACGCACCUCUGGUGUACCAGUUAUCGUGCCAACGGUAAACGCUGGGUAGCCAUGUGCGGAGUGGAUAACCGCUGAAAGCAUCUAAGUGGGAAGCCCACCUCAAGAUGAGUAUUCCCAUGGCGUUAGCCAGUAAGGUCACGGGCAGAACACCCGUUGAUAGGCUCUACGUGGAAGCCGGGUAACCGGUGAAGCGGAGGAGGACUAAUAGACCGAGGGCUUGAC
rnacentral:rRNA from 1 species